rnacentral:rRNA from 1 species
GACAGAGGGGGCAAGCGUUGCUCGGAAUUACUGGGCGUAAAGGGCGUGUAGGCGGGAUGGUAAGUCGGUCGUGAAAUCCCUCGGCUCAACCGAGGAACGUCGAUCGAUACUACCGUUCUUGAGGAUUGCAGAGGAGACUGGAAUUCCCGGUGUAGCGGUGAAAUGUGUAGAGAUCGGGAGGAACACCGGUGGCGAAGGCGGGUCUCUGGGCAAUUCCUGACGCUGAGGCGCGAAAGCGUGGGGAGCAAACGGG